GGAAUAUUGGACAAUGGGCGAAAGCCUGAUCCAGCAAUGCCGCGUGAGUGAAGAAGGCCUUCGGGUUGUAAAGCUCUUUUACCCGGGAAGAUAAUGACUGUACCGGGAGAAUAAGCCCCGGCUAACUCCGUGCCAGCAGCCGCGGUAAUACGGAGGGGGCUAGCGUUGUUCGGAAUUACUGGGCGUAAAGCGCACGUAGGCGGCUUGGUAAGUUAGAGGUGAAAGCCCGGGGCUCAACCCCGGAAUAGCCUUUAAGACUGCCUCGCUUGAACGUCGGAGAGGUGAGUGGAAUUCCGAGUGUAGAGGUGAAAUUCGUAGAUAUUCGGAAGAACACCAGUGGCGAAGGCGGCUCACUGGACGACUGUUGACGCUGAGGUGCGAAAGCGUGGGGAGCAAACAGGA
rnacentral:misc_RNA from 1 species